rnacentral:rRNA from 1 species
CCAGACUCCUACGGGAGGCAGCAGUGGGGAAUCUUGCGCAAUGGGCGGAAGCCUGACGCAGCGACGCCGCGUGCGGGACGAAGGCCUUCGGGUCGUAAACCGCUUUCAGCAGGGACGAGGCCCUCACGGUGACGGUACCUGCAGAAGAAGCCCCGGCUAACUACGUGCCAGCAGCCGCGGUAAUACGUAGGGUGCGAGCGUUAAUCGGAAUUACUGGGCGUAAAGGGUGUGCAGGCGGCUGAGUAAGACAGAUGUGAAAUCCCCGGGCUUAACCGGGGAACCGCAUAUGUGACUGCUUGGCUAGAGUGCGUCAGAGGGAGGUGGAAUUCCACGUGUAGCAGUGAAAUGCGUAGAUAUGUGGAAGAACACCGAUGGCGAAGGCAGCCUCCUGGGACGCAACUGACGCUCAUACACGAAAGCGUGGGGAGCAAACAGGAUUAGAUACCCCAGUACG